GGGAGGUGAGAGGUAUGAAUGGAAGGGAGGUGGAGAAGGGCCAUGGUACAUGUUAUUCAUACCACUAGUUUACCUUGAUGGUAAGAAAAUGCCUCCUCCAUGCUUAGACAUAGGGCGGCAGCAGCUCUGUGCUCAGGCUUGGUGCCAGUUUAAGGAAAGUAACUAGGCAUCAGUUUACCUUGUCCACAGAACUCUGUGACAUAUUGUCUCUAGAGUAUCUCCGGGGUGGCAUCUAAGAUUUCCCCAGCUGGAUUUGUCCCUAACUGGGGGAAGCAACUCCCAGAUCAGCCCCAGUUGUAAAGAAUCAAUGGGCCCAUGGAAAAACCUGUGUUCCCUGAUGUAGCCUUUGCCUCCCUAACUCUGUAUUUAUUGUGUGCUUUUGCUCCCCACUAAGAUCUCUAGAAGAAGAAAAAACAGGAAUCUUGAACAUCCCAAAAGGAGGAAUCUGAAUUAGUAAAUGGAACAUCCACACAUGCCCAUUAGGGAGAAAAAGAGAGUGAGAGAUGUUGUAAGUGAACUAAACCCUCAUACUCCAUAGCAGGAAAUGAACAGAUGAUAUAUCAAGUUAAUAAAAGACAGAGAUAAACUGGAAGUCUUUGGAAAUACGGAGAGUGGGGAGUCUCACUAUGUUGCCCAGCCUGGCCUUG
rnacentral:lncRNA from 1 species